rnacentral:tRNA from 1 species
GGGCCGCUAGUUCAUUCAGCAGGUCAUCCGCCUUGCAAGCGAAAGAGCACGGUGCAAGCCGCGGCGGCCCACCA